rnacentral:rRNA from 1 species
GGGCUAGCCUCGGAAAACAGGGUCGUGGAGGUAGAGCACUGAUUGGGUGCGGGGCCCGCAAGGGUUACCAAGCUCAGUCAAACUCCGAAUGCCAUAGACUUACUUCCGGGAGUCAGACAGUGAGUGCUAAGAUCCAUUGUCAAAAGGGAAACAGCCCAGACCAUCAGCUAAGGUCCCCAAGUGUGUGUUAAGUGGGAAAGGAUGUGGAGUUGCACAGACAACCAGGAUGUUGGCUUAGAAGCAGCCACCAUUGAAAGAGUGCGUAAUAGCUCACUGGUCGAGUGACUCUGCGCCGAAAAUGUAACGGGGCUAAACACACCACCGAAGCUAUGGCUUG